CAGCUCUGAAUUUAAACUAUGAUAUAUAAAGUGAAUCUAGCAGGGGCUUUUUCAAGGUGCAGGGGUCAAGCCAAACUUUAAAGAUGCUUUCCAAGUCCCCAAGGUGUGAUAGUAUCAAGAAGUGGGGCCUUCAAGAAGUAAGUCACCAGGACAGAAUCCUCAUGAGUGAGGUUGCUGACUUCAUGAAAGGGCUAGUGAGAUCUCUCCAGAGGACACAGCAACAAGGCACCAUCUUGAAAACAGAGCAACAGGGCUUCUGGACUGGCCCAAAGACUUGGCACAUUGAUUUUGGACUUUCCAUCUUUCACAACUGUGAAAAAUAAAUUUCUGUGGUUUAUAAA